rnacentral:rRNA from 1 species
AUUGAACGCUGGCGGCAGGCUUGACACAUGCAAGUCGAGCGGAAACGAUGGGAGCUUGCUCCCAGGCGUCGAGCGGCGGACGGGUGAGUAACGCGUAGGAAUCUGCCCAGUAGAGGGGGAUAGCCCAGGGAAACCCGGAUUAAUACCGCAUACGCCCUACGGGGGAAAGGCCGGGAUCUUCAGACCGGUCACUAUUGGAUGAGCCUGCGUGAGAUUAGCUAGUUGGUGGGGUAAAGGCCUACCAAGGCGACGAUCUCUAGCUGGUCUGAGAGGAUGAUCAGCCACACUGGAACUGAGACACGGUCCAG